CGUAGGGUGCAAGCGUUGUCCGGAAUUAUUGGGCGUAAAGAGCUCGUAGGCGGUGUGUCGCGUCUGCCGUGAAAACCUGCGGCUUAACCGUGGGCGUGCGGUGGAUACGGGCACACUUGAGUUCGGUAGGGGAGACUGGAAUUCCUGGUGUAGCGGUGGAAUGCGCAGAUAUCAGGAGGAACACCAGUGGCGAAGGCGGGUCUCUGGGCCGAAACUGACGCUGAGGAGCGAAAGCGUGGGGAGCGAACAGGAUU
rnacentral:rRNA from 1 species